UAACUGCGAGUGAAGCGGGAAGAGCUCAAAUUUAAAAUCUGGCAGCUUCGCUGUCCGAGUUGUAAUCUGGAGAAGCAUUUUCCGCGUUGGACCGUGUACAAGUCUCUUGGAACAGAGCGUCAUAGAGGGUGAGAAUCCCGUCCAUGGCACGGACUACCAAUGCUUUGUGAUAUGCUCUCGAAGAGUCGAGUUGUUUGGGAAUGCAGCUCAAAAUGGGUGGUAAGUUCCAUCUAAAGCUAAAUAUUGGCGAGAGACCGAUAGCGAACAAGUACCGUGAGGGAAAGAUGAAAAGCACUUUGGAAAGAGAGUUAAACAGUACGUGAAAUUGUUGAAAGGGAAACGCUUGAAGUCAGUCGCGUUGUCUGAGACUCAGCCUUGCUUGCUUGGUGUACUUCUCAGUUAACGGGUCAACAUCAAUUUUGGUUGGUGGACAAAGGUCGAAGGAAUGUGGCAUCUUCGGAUGUGUUAUAGCCUUCUUCCGUAUACACUGGCUGGGAUUGAGGUCUGCAGCACGCCUUUAUGGCCGGGGUUCGCCCACGUUACGUGCUUAGGAUGUUGGCAUAAUGGCUUUAAGCGACCCGUCUUGAAACACGGACCAAGGAGUCUAACAUGCUUGCGAGUAUUAGAGUGGAAAACUCUUGUGCGUAAUGAAAGUGAAAGUUGGGACUCUUCAUUGAGGCACUGACGCCCUGCCCUGAAGUCUUCUGACGGUGCAGCGGUAGAGCACGUAUGUUGGGACCCGAAAGAUGGUGAACUAUGCCUGAAUAGGGUGAAGCCAGGGGAAACUCUGGUGGAGGCUCGUAGCGAUUCUGACGUGCAAAUCGAUCGUCAAAUUUGGG
rnacentral:rRNA from 1 species